CAUGCAGGUGGUUUGUUAAGUCAGAUGUGAAAGCCCGGGGCUCAACCUCGGAACUGCAUUUGAAACUGGCAGACUAGAGUACUGUAGAGGGGGGUAGAAUUUCAGGUGUAGCGGUGAAAUGCGUAGAGAUCUGAAGGAAUACCGGUGGCGAAGGCGGCCCCCUGGACAGAUACUGACACUCAGAUGCGAAAGCGUGGGGAGCAAACA
rnacentral:rRNA from 1 species